GGAGAGCAGAGAGGAAAGAAGAGAGAGCCUAGCUGAAACUGUGCACGAGAAAUCUUCACCUCAGUUUGGAACUCGCACAGAGAGAGGAGAGAAGAAGAAACAGGAGCUCGCCCCCUUGUGAAAUCUCCUCUGCAGAGCAGGUAUUGGGACAAAUUUUAGGGUUUUUCUAGACCACCUAUACAGAGAGGUAACAUCUUCUUCUUCUCUUCUAUUUCGUCUUCUUCUCCUUUGCUUCCUGAAUCCAUACACCUCUUGUGGUACCUAGUUUCAUCUAUCACAGUGUUGUUGUAAGUUUGUUAACUUUCAAUUCUUCCAAUUUUCAUUUCAGCUUGUACAGAAUCUUCACCAAUUGAAAUGUGCAUUCUUGUUUUUAUGUUUA